GGGGCCAUAGCUCAGCGGUAGAGCGCUCAUCUCGCACGUGUGAGGCCCUGGUUCCA
rnacentral:tRNA from 1 species